rnacentral:lncRNA from 1 species
GAAGUGAGUAAAAUGAUGCUGAAAAAAUAAUUCUCAGGUGUAAAAAUAGAGGGAUGUGAAAACAGGACAAAUCUAAAUCUAAAAAUGAUAUAAAUUUUUGGUACUAAUUGCUAAAAUUACUCUUUGUUACCAGUUUUAUUAGAAAUAGUUCUAAUUCUUGCUGCAUUAACAAAGAAAGGAACAAAGACCUAGAAAACUGCAGUGCUGCUGGCUGUCCUAAGGCAAAGUGAAGCUGUUAAAUUUCAGGUUACAAAUACACACAGGGGCUCAUUUUCCAGACACACAUUUUGGACUUCAGCCAACCUUUGCUUAGAAAUACUGCAUGGAAUAACCUUUGGGCUUGAUUUUUAUCUGUUGCACAAGCAGACUUAAAGCCUCUCCAUUUCCUGCUCACCAAUGGAAUUGGAAUAAGACCCAGAGUUUUGGCUACCCUGGAUUUUCUAUUUCAAACCUGGUAACUUUAAGUUGUGGUAUUACACUAAGAAUAGAAAUAAUUUUUCCCUCUGCCUUAUUUUGGUUGUUCUGGGACACAUUCUGCCCUGUAUUGAUAAGAGUUUAAAAAUAAGUCUAGUCAAACAUAAAAAUAUUUUUGUGAGAGGAAAGCACACGUUUGUUUUACGGAGAAUGUAAAUAUUAGUGUCCUUUAGAAAACAAAUAAGUUCAAAGGUGUAGAGGGGUAAAUAUUUUUCCUCGUAUUAAUUCUGUAUUUCAGUUUUCCAGCCAGGCCUGUCUCAGCAUUAAAGCUUUUACCUCCAUCUCUUACAGCAGGCACAGGCCCACCUUCCCCAAGUUCUAGUGAUAGCUUUGAGCUAAAAUUUCUUUGUGUGACUUAUCUGCAUGGACCUCAUCAAAGCCUUCAGGCACCAUCUACCAGGGGGUACAACCAGCCUUCUGAUCCAGGUGCCCGAGGAUGGGUACCCCUCAGGAGACACGGGAAACCUUGGGGGCCUUGAGGGAACGUGGAGCUCAGCACCAGUGUUGACAGUGUGCAAGGACCUCGUGGAAGAAGGUACGUGUACACACACACACACACACACACACACACACACACAGUCACUGUUUUCGUUUCCUCUGGUGCGCUGCUGAAGGCUGGAGGAUGCACGCCUGGGUGAUUUUAAAGAAAUCUAAGUGUUUC